rnacentral:rRNA from 1 species
GACGAACGCUGGCGGCGUGCUUAACACAUGCAAGUCGAGCGGAGCGGCGAACGGGUGAGUAACGCGUGAGUAACUGCCCCCCUCUCUGGGAUAACAGUUGGAAACGGCUGCUAAUACCGGAUAGUGGGGGAUGACUCGCGUCCUAUCAGCUUGUGGGCUGGGUAGUGGCCUACCAAGGCGACGACUGGUAGCCGGCCUGAGAGGGCGACCGGCCCCAUUGGGCAGAGAAACGAGCCAAACUCAUACGGGGGGCAGCAGUGGGGAAUCUUGCAAAAUAGGGGAAACGCGUAUGCAGCGUCGCCGCGGGCGAGAUGACGGCCUUCGGGUUGGAAACCGCUUUAGGCCAUGACGCGGUAGUGACAGAAGAAGCACCGGCUAACUACGUGCCAGCAGCCGCGGUAAUUC